GAUGAAGAACGCAGCGAAAUGCGAUACUUGGUGUGAAUUGCAGAAUCCCGUGAACCAUCGAGUCUUUGAACGCAAGUUGCGCCCGAAGCCAUUAGGCCGAGGGCACGCCUGCCUGGGCGUCACACGUCGUUGCCCCCCCAUCUACUCCUUUGGGAUUGCGGGGGGCGGAUGAUGGCCUCUCGUGCGCCUCGUCGCGCGGUUGGCCUAAAUGCCAAGUCCUCGGCGACGCACGCCACGACAAUCGGUGGUUGCGAAACCUCGGUUGCCUGUCGUGUGCGGUCGUCGCGCAUCGAGGGCUCGAAAAAAUUGCCGGGCUUCGGCUCGUCUUUCAACGCGACCCCAGGUCAGGCGGGGUUACCCGCUGAAUUUAAGCAUAUCAAUAAGCGGAGGA
rnacentral:misc_RNA from 1 species